rnacentral:siRNA from 1 species
CGGAUUCCACAACUACUCUAUCC